AUCGCUUCUCGGCCUUUUGGCUAAGAUCAAGUGUAGUAUCUGUUCUUAUCAGUUUAAUAUUUUGGAUUUAAACACUGGGAUAAAAAUCAGGACAAAAUUUAGAUGGCAGAUCUAGGACUUCCCAGAUAUUCUGGUGAAGAUUUUGGGUAAGGUGGUGCUGCCUUUCAAUUUUUUAGUAUUUAAUGUCAAAAUAU